GGUAAUAUCGCCAAGUGGUAAGGCUAAAGAUUGCAAAUCUUUGAUUCCUCAGUUCAAAUCUGAGUAUUACCU
rnacentral:tRNA from 2 species